rnacentral:misc_RNA from 1 species
GAUGAAGAACGUAGCGAAAUGCGAUAAGUAAUGUGAAUUGCAGAAUUCAGUGAAUCAUCGAAUCUUUGAACGCACCUUGCACCCUUUGGCAUUCCGAAGGGUAUGCUCGUUUGAGUGUCAUUGUACUCUCACUCUCCCGAUGCUUUUGGAUCGGGAGUGGUGGACUUGGGUGUUGCUGCUUUGCUGUGGCUCGCCUCAAAUGGAGUAGUGCAACUCUUGGUUGGACAUAGUACGGCGUGAUAAGUGUCUUCGCCGGCGCCUCAUUAUAGAGGGUGGCCGAUCGGGAGCUCUGUGCUUCAAACCGUCUUCGGACAACAUCUGACAACUUGACCUCAAAUCGAGUAGGACUACCCGCUGAACUUAAGCAUAUCAGUAAGCGGAGGA